UAUGGGAAGAGGCAGGAGUCUGGGCUCAUUGGAAUCCUUCCUUUGAUGUGCAUUUGAACUAUCUAGAGCCAGCAUCCUGCUUUUCUCCAUCCUGAGUCCCCUCCGGGUGCACCAUCGGGGAUGGCUGCCAUGGCUGAUGAUGGCUGACGGCUGCAACACUCUGUUGACUGACAGGGCAGGCGACAUUCUUCAUCCAUACAGGUUCAAGUUUUCUUUCUUGCUCGAUUUACUGGCUAGGGUUGGAGUGGGAGACUCUGCUCUUUGCAGAUGUGAGGGACUCAGGGUCCUUCAACAUUGUGGCGUCACCUUCCUCAGGUCCUCAGAGCCCCGCGCUGGAAGCAGGGAGCUUGGAGAAGGCACGCACGCUCUUGGCCUCUUCUGCCCAGAGAGGACAGAGCCACUUCUGCGCAUGGUCCACUGGUCAGGGCUCGUCCCAGGGCCCCACCCAGAGGCAAGGGGGCUGUCGAAGGGAAUCUGGAUGCAGCAAAGAGAAAGGGCCAAUGGGUAUUGAUUAACAACUAGCCAAGGUCCUACCUACCUACCAAUUCACUGUCAGAUCUUUAGAAUACAAAGGGUUACAUUCCUGCAAUCCUCCUCUAAUUCGAGACAAUUCUCCAUUCAUAUUCUCUUUUGCUUAGAGCAACCUUGAGCUGGGUCUUCCCAGGCUCUUCUUUCUACCCCUACAGGCUGUGGUCUCCUCGGAAGCUUUGGUGGGAUGCAGGCACCAUCUGGGAGAAGGCGCCUCGGAACUCACAUGCCCGCGUUGCCCAGGACCCCAAUUCCUUCCACCUCUCGGAUGCUGCUUUCUUUUCCCAGGGACAGAGCCAAGCUGUAAUUGACUCCUUGGGCAUUUCAAAGUCCCUGAUCCCAAGACUGAAGGAUGACUCCCUGCUGUUGUGAAAGAUUGCACCUUGCUGUGGCUGGAUCAAUAACUCUGGAGUGAGCUGUUUGCCCUCAAAACUGCUGGGGCCGCAGCCAUGGAGCUGCAGGAUCCCAACGGGGUCCUGACGUCCAUCUGCUCUGUUUUUUUCAGGUGCGCUGAAUCGACAGUCCUGAGUUUUGAAGUUUUCCUGGAGGGGACUUGAGGGGAUUUCUCCAGGAUCGAUGCAACUCCUUUUGUGGUGCUUCAGUGCUUCCACCAUGAAGCGCUCAUUUCCCUAUGCACGUCCCCCCGCCCCACCCCACUGUUUCCUUUACUCUCUCUCCUCCCACCCCCAAUUCCCAGAAGAAGAUCUAGGAAUCAGGUCCAAACAUAAGAUCUUUGGAGAAUCC